rnacentral:rRNA from 1 species
UACAGAGGGUGCAAGCGUUGCUCGGAAUCACUGGGCGUAAAGGGUGCGUAGGCGGGUCUUUAAGUCAGGGGUGAAAUCCUGGAGCUCAACUCCAGAACUGCCUUUGAUACUGAAGAUCUUGAGUUCGGGAGAGGUGAGUGGAACUGCGAGUGUAGAGGUGAAAUUCGUAGAUAUUCGCAAGAACACCAGUGGCGAAGGCGGCUCACUGGCCCGAUACUGACGCUGAGGCACGAAAGCGUGGGGAGCAAACAGG